rnacentral:rRNA from 1 species
ACUCCUACGGGAGGCAGCAGUAGGGAAUCUUCCACAAUGGGCGCAAGCCUGAUGGAGCAACACCGCGUGAGUGAAGAAGGGUUUCGGCUCGUAAAGCUCUGUUGUUAAAGAAGAACACGUAUGAGAGUAACUGUUCAUACGUUGACGGUAUUUAACCAGGAAGUCACGGCUAACUACGUGCCAGCAGCCGCGGUAAUACGUAGGUGGCAAGCGUUAUCCGGAUUUAUUGGGCGUAAAGAGAGUGCAGGCGGUUUUCUAAGUCUGAUGUGAAAGCCUUCGGCUUAACCGGAGAAGUGCAUCGGAAACUGGAUAACUUGAGUGCAGAAGAGGGUAGUGGAACUCCAUGUGUAGCGGUGGAAUGCGUAGAUAUAUGGAAGAACACCAGUGGCGAAGGCGGCUACCUGGUCUGCAACUGACGCUGAGACUCGAAAGCAUGGGUAGCGAACAGGAUUAGAUACCCUGGUAGGAUAGCG